UAAUUCAUUUGAUCCCCUGCAAUUUGUUGUUGUCGGCCACCUAUUGCGGCCUCUGUGAAACCUCAAUGAACUUUUAGGAAAAUCUUUGUACUUUGCUUUUUUGAUUAACUGCUUUUGAGUGGAAUUCUUAAUGGAUUUGUUCUGUAAUAUAUUAUUCUUCUUGUCACCCGCAAGUCACCUUCAUCUUGAAAGAAGAUGCUUAAUCAAAAAAGCAAAGUACAAAGAUUUUCCUA
rnacentral:misc_RNA from 1 species